CUCUCUCGUCCCUCUAAUUUUGAGAGACAACUGAAGACAACACUGAAAUAGUACUGUUCUUGUUAAGUAACCCUAAUCAGGGUUAUGUGGGCAAAUACCUGCUUUGCCCCUGAGGGGUCUCACAUCUCUAUAUAAGGAACCGUACAUCCCUCAUAAUACAGAGAUUAGAAAGAGGCCAGAGGCCCAACCCUAUAUCCAGUGUCUCGUGUGUUUCCUCUGUCGUAUUUAUGGGAAGGGAGACGGGUUCUCUACAUCUUCUUGCGUCUCUACUGCUGACGGGAGGGAAGGGAACGGAUCUGGUGAUCCGUGGUAACGUAGUUCUUAAUACGUUAUCAGCACGCUCUACCUCGACGUUGCUGCGGCUAGAUCAGAUCUGCAUCAACUCUCCGUCAAACCGGCAGGUCUUUGGCCUAGCCGAACUGUCCUACGCGACAGGCUUCGAUUUCCCCUACGCAAUCAAACAAUGGUAUGAAAUUUUACUGGAUCUGCGCUUUACCUUUGUUCACGGUGAAGAAAACAUCGGCAGUUGCUGCAUGGUGGACUCUAGUACGCGCGAUGAGCCGUCAGACCACAAGAUAGAUGGCGUACACAGAAGCGAGGAUGGACUCCUUGCACUCUGUGUCAGGGCGGCGCACGCUGACACUCGAGGCGUUGCUUUGUUCCAUACACGCCCGUGCCUCCUCACUCGGCCAGCAGCCAGGAUGAUAAGGAGCAGGCGAGCAGCAUCUCCGCAGCGUCGUCAGCGCUCACCUCGUUGCCCACGGCGAUAUAUUUACAUGUUGGCCUGGAGCCAUGGGCACAGUCCACAACCGCAGAGGCCUUGCUGCCUGGUGACGAGUGGCGAUGGCGCCGGUGCGUACCGGCGGUACCGCGUCCAAGGCGGCCACGUCGAGGUUGAGUAUUGCAUAGUGUCCAUCCGUCCAUGAAUACAGACAACCCACCUCACCCUGGCACAUGUACGAUGCGCUCGUCUACCCGCAUGCCACGAGCCCAGUCCGUUGAUCAGACUUGGUGUGGUAGCCCUCAAAGACCCAAUAGUAGCCGAGGCUGUUGGGUGAUCCGAAAUUAUAGGAUGGCGUACAACUGAGUCCACUCUGCUGACCUUUGCAAGAUCCAUUUUACCGGAGUGGUUGGUUAUCCACGGAGCCGUGAUAAAAGAAACCCGAUCUGCAUGAGGAUGAGGCGAUGACAAGCACAUGUUGCAUGCGUGCAUGCACUCAGUUCCCAUGCAGCCGUCCCAACUAGUUGGGGGCAACGAUUAGAAUAUUGUGUGAAAUUUGCAUGUGUUAGUUAAAGAUCCUAACAAAGUGGCUUAGAACAUGAAAAUCGCGUAGGAGCACAUAAUUUUUUCAUUUAAAUUUUUAUUGGGUUAAGAAAAUUUGGUAUAAUUUUAAUUUACAGCAUGCUCCAUGUUAUUUAUUCUAUUUAUUUCCUGUUGUAAAUAACAAGUAGAAUAAAGCAUGUUUUAUGUUACAAUUUCUACUUUAAUUAAUUAUUUCCCGCAGUAAAUAAUUAGUACAUGUUUGAAUAUGGAAAAUGUUUUUUACACCUGAUGUGUUAUGAUCAUAUAAUAAUUUUGGUGUUUUUUCUGCUUUUAUUUCUCGUAUAAGAUAUUUAGCAGAAAAUGUUUCUAGAAGAUAUCUAGCAGAAAAGUCUAUAUUGUGCAUACUUAAAUCGCUCUAAAUAUUUAUAUUAUGUUGAGUUUUUGGACUCACCUCGAGUGAUUUAAUGAUAUAGUGGGUACUCGGACACGUCGAUCAGACUACAUUAUUAAUCAGCUGAGCUAUAGCAUUGGCUGUGCCCUGGCAAUACACGCAAUAUUUGUGUCGUUCGAACUUGGUUGCGUCAUGUGAUUGCUAUGUGACACUCUUGUUUAGUCGGAUCGCUCCGGUUGAGUCAUACCGCCAUUGCCGAGUCGCGUAUUUUUCGCAUGCCCUGCAGGCGCUGUCUGUCUCCCGUGAUCAUCGAGUCACAAUUGCGCCUGUUGCGCACAUUACAUGGACUUAUCGUGUACCCCGAUUACCGAGCCAUAAUUGUGCUUGUUGCAUUAAUUACGAAGGUUGGCUGUGUUGUCGUAGCCCUGAUGGCCACACACGCGUUGACACCAGACACUAGAGCUUGUACUUGUGUGGAUUGUGGUGGGUUGUUCAAGCCCCUGAAGUCACAUUAUACGCAACCUUCGUAAAUAAUUUUGUUUUCACUUUAUAUUUUGUUUGAUUGUGUUUUGUGGUAUCAUAUAUUUUUAUAUAUCGCCACGUGGCCAUAACACCUAUAUUAAAUCUGGGAAAUUAAAUCGAAAUACAAUGAAACACAGAUAAGUUAAAUCUCUGCUCUCUCUCCUCGUGCAUAAAAUUUUACCCGAAGUAACCUGAAGAAAUUCAAUAUUAAUGCAUGAAAGCCUUUUUGGCAUAAAAGAUAUCACAAAUUGGGAUUAUAUUAGUAAGCAAAAAGACCUUACCAAAUGAUUUAAGAUCAGAAAUCUCAGUCAUACAUUGCUCAAUCAGAUGUUAGCACAUUGCUCUCUUUGUCGCUGGAUGACAUGAAGCAAACUAUGAGAUAAAAGGACAUGUAACCGCUAGCAACAUGAAGCUGCGAGUAUACCGAGAGGUUAUUUUGAGAAAAUUUUGACUCUGUUGGUGUGAAAACCAUAGUGUGUUCCCGUCGAACCACUUUACUCGUUCUAUCUAGGACCUCUAUGCUUGUGUCGCAUACAUCUCUCGAAAUUGUAAAUACUUAUAGUCACUGAAUUGACUCGGGAUAGUCCUUUGACAAGUUUGGUAUACACUGUAAGCUAAAUGGUAAAGGUCGGUCUUGAAUGGACAUAUACCUGGGGUUUAGGUAGCCGAACUACACUGAAUUCCACCCUUUGGCAUGCUUACCAUUAUCUACCUCCGAUCUACCAGAAGUGAGAAGAGUAGACAAAUAAUUAUGAAAUCCCACUCACCACAGAGCUUGAAGCUAAAUUAGACGUUAAUAUGUCCUUGGUCCUCGGAGCCAGAAGAGACAUGUGUCUUGACCACUAGACUACUAGUGAUGAUAAUUUGUGAUAGAAAUAUGAAGAUCUUGUAGAGAUAUGUUGUAUCCUCUCUACUUCUGAUGAUUUCUUCGUAUGAGAGCAGUAAUAUCUGUUGUUGAAGAUGGAUCCUGGCGGACACCAGUCCUAUUUUCAUUCUUGCCAAGCAGUUAUCAUCAUUUGCUUCAUCAAAAGCUAGUUAUAUGGUGAUUUUCCCAGAUAAAAUGAAUUCUUGGCCUUGUCUGUUCUAUUCCAAAGCUUCUCUUUUUGUCGAACAACGAAGGAUCGAAAUAAUGCUUUAUAGAAUAAAUUGGUAUAUAAUAUGAGGAGAAAUGUUUGUCGUGCUGGCAGCAUCACAAAUUAUUAACUAUUGUUAUAUAUUCUCUCUCAAAAUUAUAAUACCUAAAAAUGUUGCAUAAAUUGAUACCCAAUUUCAGAUCGGUAUGAGUAAUUGGGUAAACAAUGGGCAAUAAUAAAACGAGUUGGACUAUACAUCUCUGCAUAUAAAAAUCUCUGCUUGGCAGCAUUGGCAUGAUGUCGUGCACUUUACUACCAAUAUAAACACAUUUUCCUAUGUGCCUCAAAGCACAAUGCAACCAGUGAAUGUCUUUGUGAGCGUUAGACCCUGAUGGUCAUUUUACUUGUUGAUCUGAAGUCAACUAAUGGCUCCAAAUGACGAAUGGUAUUCAUGAGCCCCUGAAGAAGCCUUAUGGAUAAAAUAGUGUUGUGCAUGUUAGUCUAAAUCUUAAUGAUUGACUAUGCAUUUGGUAGUAAUAACAAUAAGUUUGCAGAAUUGUAACCAUGAAGCAUCUUGUUGUUGCGUGUCUCGCUGGAUGUUGAGACUAACCCUUCAUGUUGAAGGACAAAUAUGUAGUAUUCAUGCCACUACAUUAAUCUAAGUCCAAAUCUCACUGCAUAAAACCCCAAUCUGUAAUGUGCGUAAGAUUUCCCAAAUAAAUCACCACAAUAGCAUACAUUGGCCACAAACUAGAUGAUUGUGGUUGGGGAUUUUAUCUGUAUGCUUUUAGAACAUCUCGGCAUUAGGGGGAGGAAUGUUCAUAUAGUGUAAUGCCUCAAUAUUCUAUUAAACGCACAAAAGCCAAGCUGAACCCGUCGUUCGAAGUGUACUCCUGUGUAUAUGGAGUUUGCCAGAAAUCGUUGAGGAGUAACCAUAUUGGUUUGAAUGCUUCUACCUGAUGUAGAUGUGGAUAUACCCGGGAUUAAUAUCAUAUCCACAUUUGACUUAUUGGCAUUUGAUCUAUUCUCGGGGACGCCUGCGAAUAUGAUCUAUUGGCCUUAGUCAAAGCAUAUGUUCUGAUUGCAGAUUCACGUGGUCUGUAAUAACUCUCCUCCGAUGAACUCGCCCUGCUGGUGAUUUGCCUCACGAAGAGGUUCAUCUUGAUGAUGAAGUUCCUAGCAAUGCGCGCAAUAUCAUUGUGCUGGGAAUAUGGAACAAUGAAUCUUUCGUUUUGGGAAAUGACGGAGAUCAUUAUUAAAUGUGGGAGACAAAUGUGUCGACACCUAUCUUGCCUCUAUAGAUUGCAAAGGGAUCCAAAACAAAGUCCUAGGCAUGAGUGCUUUAAGCUCUCUUAUCGGGUCAUUGAUAAAUGCAAUCGAGGCUGAACCAAGAAUCGCAAAAUGAAAGUCGCGAGCUUGAAGUUCGGACAUUUAUGGGCACUAUUGAAAUAAUGUGUGGUGAAUGCGAUGGUUCAAGUGGUCUAGUGAGAGACCCAUCCCACAUAUGUGUUGAAUAAACACAGUUCCGCUAUGUAAUAUAUCUGGCAAAUGGCAUGAAUUAUAAUAUGCAGUUAAUAGGAUUCUGAAGAUCCGUCAUGAGAUCCUAGGAGGACUCAUAUCUUUGAAUUAUAAAUAUGCAACAUAUAAAUCUCAUACCGAAUAAUACAUUCCUGACGAAUGAACACUCUCUUAUGUAGAGAGAAUAUCUCCUAGAUGAGAUUAUAGUUCCUUAACGGAACCUUUCCAAAAGAAAUAAAGUUUGUGUUAAACACCAAAGUUUGAUAAUCCCUAUAAAGGGAUAAAGACCCAUACAGACCCAAAAAGGUAUAAGAUGAGGUACCAAAGGAUUUGAAGUUCAUCGAAUAAGCACAUGUGCAUUCCACGAGUUUUACUCAUGGUAAUUUCCACUAGAUGUGGAAUUACGGUAUCCUCUAAAGCCCUGAUGGCAGAAACCUAUAAGGUUUAGGUGUUACUGGCAAAAUAUCCCCAUUGUGCCAGAAUGACAGACUAUAACGAUAUAUUUGAUCGAUAAAAAAUCUCUGAUGGAUUACGAUCUUUGAUGGACUUUUGUUACACCAUCAUAGAUGUUGCAAUGGAUGAACGCCUAGAGUGAUGUGUCAUAUUUAGAAUAUGUACUAUUGCAACUAUAUUAUCCCCUAAGUCCUAUUGAAGGACAUGUUAUUUGCUUUGCACAACUAUGUAUAAAUUGUGGUGUAAGAUAGAAAAUGAUUGCACCCCAACCUCAUCCAUUCUCGUUAUUCCAGAUGAACAAUGAGACAUAUAUCUUGAAGAAUAUGCUUGAGUUAUGAGGGAUAACGACUUUGACAGAUGUCAUCGUCAGGGGGAGCGAAUGCUUAUGUUGAUCACAAUCGUGAGAUAAUAAAUGUCAUAUUCUAUGCCCUGAAGGCGUGAGCUUGAUGAUCAAUAUACGAACCUUUAUGGAACUUUCUAUCAAAUAUAUAGAUCCAGUCGAUCGAACACCAUCAAUCAAAGUGGCUUAUUUAUAUUGAUAUGUGCACUUACCUCGUAUAUACUAGAAGUGAGUAUAGGUAAAGUUCCUGAAAUAGUCCUUGCAAGGAUAUGCAAUCCGUUUGCUAAAUCUUUAUGUGCAUAUACUUCCAGAAGAAGAUGUUUUGCCAUAUUAAUACGGUUUUGCAAGGAUCAGGGGGGGCACAUUUCUAAAGUUAGCCCUUGUCGAAGAUUCGAUAGAAUCUAGAUCCCAGAGGAUCGAAAUCUGUCCCGAUGACAGCUGUUGUACUCUUUUCCCUUGGUGAGUUUUCUUGAAGCUUCUCACAUGAGGUUUUUAACGAGGCAACAAAGUGCAAAUGCAAUUUGUAUCACCAUGCACUCUUUCUCCAUAUUUUUCCCACUGGGUUUUUCGGAGUUUUAACGAGGCAUGUGUUGGUCGCGGUAUUCGCCCAAGGGGGAGUGUUAAGUAACCCUAAUCAGGGUUAUGUGGGCAAAUACCUGCUUUGCCCCUGAGGGGUCUCACAUCUCUAUAUAAGGAACCUGUACACCCCUCAUAAUACAGAGAUUAGAAAGAGGCCAGAGGCCCAACCCUAUAUCCAGUGUCUCGUGUGUUUCCUCUGUCGUAUUUAUGGGAAGGGAGACGGGUUCUCUACAUCUUCUUGCGUCUCUACUGCUGACGGGAGGGAAGGGAACGGAUCUGGUGAUCCGUGGUAACGUAGUUCUUCUAACCCUUAACACUGAACCAAACAACCUCGUCUCAUCCCGUCCUAUCCUAUCAUUGCAACCAAAUGCACCAUAAGACUAUCUCGCGGUAUAUCACUUUUUUUGUCAUACUCAACAUUUCUUUUACUUUUUCAUCUCUCGCAACGAUUCUCUCUAUUUUCUCUCUCUAUACACCACUACAACCAUAAAAUAUUAUUUUCCAUAUCUUUUCAUCAUCUAUUAUCAUUUUUCUCUACUCUAACAAACACUGACGCGCACGCAUAGCAAGGAAAGGGGGCUAGCACAUCGCUCUCUCAAUCUGGCGUAGUACUGACCUUUCCCCUUACACUUUUUUUCUCUCCUUAUACGUCUACAGUCAUAUGGGAGGGGGCACCACGCGGUAAGCAUUGCGGAUAGUCUUUGUGACCGUUUGGUUGCAAGGGUCAUGUGGGAGGGACGGGACAAAUCUAGUUUCAAUAAUGUUUGAUUCAUAGUUAAAUAGAUUAAAGUUCUGAAUAUCUUAUUAGAGAAUAUUUUUCUGGACGAUAUCUUUUUCUAUUCAAAUACAUACUUACAUCUCUACCAAUGUGUUGAUUUGCACGAUUUACACCAAGUGGUUGAUUUAUAUUUGAUUUGUUUUCUACAUAAAAACAUAUUUAUUAUGCAGUGGUGAAUCUAGCCAAAAAUAUCGUUGGGUUAUAGUGAUUAGCUUCACAAUAUAAUAUAUAUUUUUUAAAAAAAUUUAAUAGUGCUUUAUUAAAGUAUUUAUAAAUUUUAUGGGGAUCGGUGUUAUUGUGGAACAAAAUGUAGAUGUUAAAAAUGCAUCUAUUUUAGGACCGUACUUACAGAUAGACACGUGACCUAGUCUAGCCCCC
rnacentral:lncRNA from 1 species